rnacentral:rRNA from 1 species
GGCUUAGAGUUUGAUCAUGGCUCAGGACGAACGCUGGCGGCGUGCUUCAUACAUGCAAGUCGAACGAGAAUCUGACUUCGGUCAGAGGAAAGUGGCGGACGGGUGAGUAAAAUGUAGAGAAUCUGCCUAUGAGUGGGGGACAACAUUGGGAAACCGAUGCUAAUACCGCAUAUGAGUAUAUUUGAGAUAAUAUACUUGAAAACUGAGGUGCUCAUAGAUGAGUCUGCAUCUGAUUAGCUAGUUGGGGGUGUAAUGGACCACCAAGGCGACGAUCAGUAGCUGGUUUGAGAGGAUGAUCAGCCACAAUGGGGCUGAGACACGGCCCAUACUCCUACGGGAGGCAGCAGUAGGGAAUUUUGCGCAAUGGGGGGAACCCUGACGCAGCAACGCCGCGUGAUUGAAGAAGCCCUUCGGGGUGUAAAGAUCUGUCAGUGGGGACGAAAGAUGACGGUACCCACAGAGGAAGCACCGGCUAACUCCGUGCCAGCAGCCGCGGUAAUACGGGGGGUGCAAGCGUUGUCCGGAAUCAUUGGGCGUAAAGAGUUCGUAGGUGGUAAGUUAAGUCUGGUGUUAAAUUCUGAAGCUCAACUUCAGUAGAGCACUGGAUACUGGCGAACUAGAAUGCGGUAGAGGUAAAGG